CAGCCGCCGCGGUAAUACCGGCGGCCCGAGUGGCGGUCACUAUUAUUUGGCUUAAAGCGUCCGUAGCCGGGUUGGGAAGUCCUCCGGGAAAUCUGGCCGCUUAACGGUCAGAAUGCCGGAGGAUACUCCCAGCCUAGGGAGCGGGAGAGGCCGAGGGUAUUCCCGGAGUAGGGGGGAAAUCCUAUAAUCCCGGGAGGACCACCUGUGGCGAAGGCGCUCGGCUGGAACGCGUCCGACGGUGAGGGACGAAGGCCAGGGGAGCAAACCGGAUUAGAUACCCGGGUAGUCCUGGCUGUAAACGAUGCGGACUUUGUGUCGGACAAGCUAUGAGCUUGUCCGGUGCCGGAGGGAAACCGUUAAGUCCGCCGCCUGGGGAGUACGGCCGCAAGGCUGAAACUUAAAGGAAUUGGCGGG
rnacentral:rRNA from 1 species